CUCAUCCCCCUUCUUCCCUCUUAACACAUCUCCAUAAUGAUGGCUUUCACCUGUUAGCUCGCAUGUGCCUGGCACAGUAUGAGACGAGACAGAGUUCACUUCUGGACUGAACUGUGUUUCUGCAGGUGAGCUCUCCCCUGUAAUAUAUCCAUCUACCCUUGGCAAGGACAAGCCCUGGUAUAACCCAGUGUCCCUACAUUAGCAGUAUAUUUGGAGAGUCUGCUAUUGGCUUAGAGGCUGUAAGUCCUUGAGGGUAAGGAACAUGGAAUCAUUACUCUGAAUCUUCAGGCAGCUAAUAAAGUAUUACACCCUGUGGGCAUUUGAUAGCUAUUUGCUAUUUGCUUCUCUUCUCCCACAUGAAAUCUUAAGAUUCCACCACUUGGGAACUCAGUUCUACCGGGCCACUCCUCUUCCAAGCUCAGCUUUGGGAAAUAAGGAGUGUGUCUUCCCACAUACGGCUCUUUUCAACUUAAUGUGUUCAUUUGAGCACCUAGAAACCAUGGUGACAGGUGCCACAGAAAUAGAAAGAGCAGGGAGGUGGAACACAGAAAGGGAGGGCCCGAAACACCAGAGGGCUGGAAGCAGUGCUUUCGGGACACCAGUGUGUAUUUUGAGCCAGCGGGAUUAUUUAUCAUGUCUUUGUGCACAGCCUCUGCCUUGGGAACGUAGAUGCUGUAGCUUCCUUACGCACUUACAUUCUCUGGGUCUCCAGAGGAGGAGAGACGCUGCAUUCAGUGUUAAAGGGUUUGCCUCUGGCGCUGGAAAGUGGAAAAUCAACUUGAAAGAGAAAACCAAAUUACCCUGCCAUCUAGAAAUCUCGGGAGAUAGGCCACACAAAGUGAACUUGGUUUAUUGUUAUCUUCAAGGCCUCCUGUUGGCUCCAGUCAUCCUGAAGAUCUCAGGGGAGCAGAUUCUCCCUCCCAUAGAGGUGCUUAUGGGUGGGCUGGCCCCAUGGGCUGCUCCAGGAGAGAAUGGGGUCCUCACACAGCCACUGAGGACCACAGGUUGGAUAACAAGGAUGCUCCUGAGAUACAGUAUCAUAGACAAGACCUGGUUUAGAAUCUGGGCUCCCCCAUCUACCAGCUGUGUGAUCUUCCCCAUGUGCUCUGAGUUCUGGGCUUCAGUUUCCUCGUGUGAUGCAAUGAUCAGAAUUGUCUAA
rnacentral:lncRNA from 1 species